CUUGCUUUCUUUGCUGGCGACCGGCGCACGGGUGAGUAACACGUAUCCAACCUACCCUUUACUCGGGGAUAGCCUUUCGAAAGAAAGAUUAAUACCCGAUAGCAUAAUGAUUCCGCAUGGUUUCAUUAUUAAAGGAUUCCGGUAAAGGAUGGGGAUGCGUUCCAUUAGGUUGUUGGUGAGGUAACGGCUCACCAAGCCUUCGAUGGAUAGGGGUUCUGAGAGGAAGGUCCCCCACAUUGGAACUGAGACACGGUCCAAACUCCUACGGGAGGCAGCAUG
rnacentral:rRNA from 1 species